rnacentral:siRNA from 1 species
CACACAAGAAAAUGACAAGUGUA